CGGGAUGAGAUGCAGAAGCAGCUGAACUCUGAGGCCUGUGUGCCUGUCAUUUUUGAACAGGUGAAGUCUGUCUCUCCUCCAUUUGUACAGCUAGAUUUCCUGACAUUCAUUGCCUCGGAAGAAAAUUUAAAAGGCAAACUCGGGCCUUGGUGCUGAAAAGAUGGGAACUCAGAAAGUGAGGCUUCUUCCCCUCACCAGAGAAAAGGCACAUGGAGACGAAGCAUCUGAAGGGAGGUGGCCAGUGCGUGGACAGGCUGGCGGCCAUCGGCACCUUACACACCUGGCUGAAGGGACCAGACCCUCACCAGCCCCCUGCUUUGGCAGCCAGGGCAGGCUGCAGAAGAGACCCAGCAAGAUGUCGGCCUCAGACUCAGCACCUGUUGCUGAGUGUUUGACCUUCUGACCUUGCGAGUCCUGCCCCUGUCACCUGCAGGAUAGCACCUGCCCUGGGAGGGCCUAUAAGCCAUAGCAAUCAGUUGACCAAUCAACACAGGACAGGUUGUCCAAGCACAGAAGUGCACCAGUCUUGAGACUGUUGUGGACCCCAGAUACUCCCCUUGCUCUGCCCCCAAUAAAUUCUCUGCCC